CCUACGGUGGGCUGCAGUGGGGAAUAUUGGACAAUGGGCGAAAGCCUGAUCCAGCCAUGCCGCGUGUGUGAAGAAGGCCUUCGGGUUGUAAAGCACGUUCAGUGGGGAAGAAAGCCUUGGGGCUAAUACCCUCGAGGAAGGACAUCACCCACAGAAGAAGCACCGGCUAACUCCGUGCCAGCAGCCGCGGUAAUACGGAGGGUGCGAGCGUUAAUCGGAAUUACUGGGCGUAAAGCGCGCGUAGGCGGUCUGAUAAGCCGGUUGUGAAAGCCCCGGGCUCAACCUGGGAACGGCAUCCGGAACUGUCAGGCUAGAGUGCAGGAGAGGAAGGUAGAAUUCCCGGUGUAGCGGUGAAAUGCGUAGAGAUCGGGAGGAAUACCAGUGGCGAAGGCGGCCUUCUGGACUGACACUGACGCUGAGGUGCGAAAGCGUGGGUAGCAAACAGGAUUAGAUACCCUGGUAGUC
rnacentral:rRNA from 1 species